rnacentral:lncRNA from 1 species
UUUGGCACAACAACAAAUGCCUUCAUGUCCAUGUCGUAGUCCAAAGAGCAUCCAGGUGGCAACCUACAAGAUUGAAUGGUGUCUGUCACGUUUUGGCACAAGAAGAAAUAACGUGCUUGAAAUUAUCAAUAUGCCAAACAGACAAAAGAACCACCAACCAUACUCGAUCUCAAACAUUCGGAGAACCACCAAGGUUGUUGUCGCUUGGGCCUCGUGCAUGUGAAGAUCCAUCAGUAUUAGAUCCAUGGCCUGAUUGAUGAGGCAUCUGCAUAACGGGCAUACCAUUCUGGGUACAAUAAGCCUG